ACGGGGGCCCGCACAAGCGGCGGAGCAUGCGGAUUAAUUCGAUGCAACGCGAAGAACCUUACCAAGGCUUGACAUACACCGGUAACGCCCAGAGAUGGGUGCCCCUUUGUGGUCGGUGUACAGGUGGUGCAUGGUUGUCGUCAGCUCGUGUCGUGAGAUGUUGGGUUAAGUCCCGCAACGAGCGCAACCCUCGUCCUAUGUUGCCAGCGGGUCAUGCCGGGGACUCAUGGGAGACUGCCGGGGUCAACUCGGAGGAAGGUGGGGAUGACGUCAAAUCAUCAUGCCCCUUAUGUCUUGGGCUUCACGCAUGCUACAAUGGCCGGUACAAAGGGCUGCGAUACCGCGAGGUGGAGCGAAUCCCAGAAAGCCGGUCUCAGUUCGGAUUGGGGUCUGCAACUCGACCCCAUGAAGUCGGAGUCGCUAGUAAUCGCAGAUCAGCAACGCUGCGGUGAAUACGUUCCCGGGCCUU
rnacentral:rRNA from 1 species